rnacentral:rRNA from 1 species
UACGUAGGUGACCAGCGUUGUCCGGAUUUACUGGGCGUAAAGAGCGCGCAGGCGGUCGUUCAAGUCGAGUGUGAAAGCCCCCGGCUCAACUGGGGAGGGUCACUCGAUACUGAUCGACUUGAAGGCAGGAGAGGGAAGUGGAAUUCCCAGUGUAGCGGUGAAAUGCGUAGAUAUUGGGAGGAACACCAGUGGCGAAGGCGCCGCUCUGGGCCGUGACUGACGCUGAGGAGCGAAAGCGUGGGUAGCAAACAGG